rnacentral:tRNA from 1 species
CAGAACAUAGUUUAAAAAACAUUAGCAUUGGAAGUUAAAAAUCAGCUUAAUAGCUGUGUUCUGA